rnacentral:rRNA from 1 species
AUGAACGCUGGCGGCGUGCCUAAUACAUGCAAGUCGAGCGAACAGACGAGGAGCUUGCUCCUCUGACGUUAGCGGCGGACGGGUGAGUAACACGUGGAUAACCUACCUAUAAGACUGGGAUAACUUCGGGAAACCGGCGCUAAUACCGGAUAAUAUAUUGAACCGCAUGGUUCAAUAGUGAAAGACGGUCUUGCUGUCACUUAUAGAUGGAUCCGCGCCGCAUUAGCUAGUUGGUAAGGUAACGGCUUACCAAGGCAAAGAUGCGUAGCCGACCUGAGAGGGUAAUCAACCACACUAGAACUGAGACAAGGUCCAGACUCCUACAGGAGGCAGCAAUAGGGAAUAUUGCGCAAUGGGCGAAAGCCUGACGGAGCAACGACGCGUGAGUGAUGGAGAUCUUCGGAUCGUAAAACUCUGUUAUUAGGGAAGAACAAAUGUGUAAGUAACCAUGCACGUCUUGAAGGUACCUAAUCAGAAAGGCACGGCUAACUACGUG